rnacentral:rRNA from 1 species
GACGGAGGAUGCAAGCGUUAUCCGGAAUUAUUGGGCGUAAAGCGUCCGCAGGUGGCCAUACAAGUCUGCUGUCAAAGUGCAGAGCUUAACUCUGUAAAGGCGGUGGAAACUGUAGGUCUUGAGUAUGGUAGGGGUAGAGGGAAUUCCCGGUGUAGCGGUGAAAUGCGUAGAUAUCGGGAAGAACACCAGUGGCGAAAGCGCUCUACUGGGCCAUAACUGACACUGAGGGACGAAAGCUAGGGGAGCGAAAGGG